GAUGAAGAACGCAGCGAAAGGCGAUAAGUAAUGUGAAUUACAGAAUUCAGUGAAUCAUCGAAUCUUUGAACGCACAUUGCGCCCGCCAGUAUGCUGGCGGGCAUGCCUGUUCGAGCGUCAUUUCAACCAUCAAGCCCCAGGCUUGUGUUGGGGACCUGCGGCUGCCGCAGGCCCUGAAAACCAGUGGCGGGCUCGCUGUCACACCGGGCGUAGUAGAUUUUAUCUCGCUCUGGGCGUGCUGCGGGUUCCGGCCGUUAAAAAACCCUUUUAACCCAAGGUUGACCUCGGAUCAGGUAGGAAUACCCGCUGAACUUAAGCAUAUCAAUAAGCGGAGGA
rnacentral:misc_RNA from 1 species